rnacentral:rRNA from 1 species
CCUACGGGUGGCAGCAGUGGGGAAUAUUGCACAAUGGGGGAAACCCUGAUGCAGCGACGCCGCGUGAGCGAUGAAGUACUUCGGUAUGUAAAGCUCUAUCAGUAGGGAAGUAAAUGACGGUACCUGUCUAAGAAGCCCCGGCUAACUACGUGCCAGCAGCCGCGGUAAUACGUAGGGGGCAAGCGUUAUCCGGAUUUACUGGGUGUAAAGGGAGCGUAGACGGCUGUGCAAGCCAGAUGUGAAAGCCCGGGGCUCAACCCCGGGACUGCAGUUGGAACUGUGUGGCUGGAGUGUCGGAGAGGCAGGCGGAAUUCGUGGUGUAGCGGUGAAAUGCGUAGAUAUCAGGAGGAACGCCGAUGGCGAAGGCAGCCUGCUGGACGGUAACUGACGUUGAGGCUCGAAAGCGUGGGGAGCAAACAGGAUUAGAUACCCUAGUAGUC